rnacentral:rRNA from 1 species
AUGGUGGCGAUCUCGAUGUACCGCGGCAACCUCCACCGGGGCGGGGACGACGCCGCGCGCCGCUGGCCGGCGCCCCAGCCCACGCUCUCCGCGUCCCAGUUCCGCCGCCUCCUCCACCGACGGUCCCUCGCCGUCUCCCGCCUCGCCGGGGCCCCCCGGCCCAACUCCCCCAACCCCCGCCCGGACGACGGCGCCGCGGCCCCCGCGGCCGUGGGAGAGGCGCAGGAGGUGGGCGGGGGUCAGCAUCAGGCCGAGCGGCAGGAGGAGGAGGCUCAUGAUGUGCCGAUGCAGCAGCAGCAGCAUCAUCAGCAGGGGGAGGAAGAGGGACAUGAUGAGCCGCAGCAGCAACAGGGGGAGGGAGAUGGGCAAGACGAGCAGCAGCAAGGAGAGGAGGAGGAGGAGCAGGAGGAGGGGGCGGUGGAGGAUGUGGAAAUGGACGAUGCGGGGGAGGUGGUCGCCGGAGAUGUCGAUGCCGGCGGCAAUGGUGACCCCGAAGAAGGGCAAGGUGAAAGCGAAGGCUUCGACCCCAACUCGGAGGUGGGUCAACCUGAUGGAGUUGAAGAAAGGAAGAGAGAGUUGACCGACAAGCUGGAUACCUUGAGUAAGAAAAAGCAUGAUCUUGUGCAGAUGCUGAAGCAGAUUUUGAAUGCCGAAGAAGAAAUCAGAACACGUAGCAUGCAGGCUUCACUGCGUGCUGCCAUGCCUCAGCCGCCAGAAAACACAGCUGAUGGAAGUGUUCCUAGACAGGUGCCCAGAAUGACCGUUGAUGUCAAUUUCAGCGAGUUUGCUGGGGAGUCAGAUGCUGGUUCCAACCAGGGCACUCCUGGACGCCCCUUGCAUCAUGUCCACAGUAUUUCCCCUUCAACAGCCUCUUUUGCUAGGUCUCCAUUCGGUUCUCGCAACCACAACCCUGGCAACACUCCAAGAAGUCCAGCAGCACCUUUCUCUACAGCAAGCCCGUCUCGCUUCGCAGGUACUGGGCAUCAGGGACACCACCCCUCGGCAUCAUUACCAGCAACCAACUUUGUAGCAUCGUCGCCUUCCCCUGCUGCAUCCGGUGGCUCUUCCUCUGUAUUCCGGGACCAUCGCCCGCCCAGUUCAACAUAA